rnacentral:tRNA from 1 species
GUUUUAAUAAUUUAACUAAAAUAUUGAUUUUGUAAAUCAAAUAUAAGAUCUAAUCUUUUAAAACA